rnacentral:tRNA from 1 species
AUUUAUAUAAUAUAUUUAGUAUAUUUGAUUUCCAAUCAAAAUGUUUAAUUUAAAUUAAUAUAAAU